rfam:Candidatus Methanosphaerula palustris E1-9c, complete genome.
UUGGGAACUAGCCCGGGUGGCUCGGCGUCACCUGUUAUCCGAAACCGCCGCCAUGCGGAGGGCGAAGUUUGAGGAAGGCUUUAACGAUCUGACUGAGUCUGGUGUAUCCCAACGUUGAUACCUUGUCCUGCGAGGUCGGCGGACAGGAUUCAAUACUCCGGAGGGAGUUGCGACCUGUUGCUGCGGACACCGGUCCAGGCCCGGAAGGGAGCAGACUUACUGUAGACGUUUGGCGCCCGCGGGAGUGCGGGGUGGAGGAGGGGUCUCUAGCAAGGUCAGGCACGUACUGUCGACCGAUAACGCGUUCCCAU